rnacentral:rRNA from 1 species
UUAGAGUUUGAUCCUGGCUCAGGAUGAACGCUAGCGGCAGGCUUAACACAUGCAAGUCGAGGGGCAGCAGGGAGUAGCAAUACUCUGCUGGCGACCGGCGCACGGGUGCGUAACGCGUAUGCAACCUACCUUAAACAGGGGAAUAACUCAGGGAAACUUGAACUAAUGCCCCAUAUUCUUGCGGGAUCGCAUGGUCUUGCAAGGAAAGCCUUGGUGGUUUUAGAUGGGCAUGCGUGACAUUAGGUAGUUGGCGGGGCAACGGCCCACCAAGCCGACGAUGUCUAGGGGAGCUGAGAGGCUUAUCCCCCACACUGGUACUGAGACACGGACCAGACUCCUACGGGAGGCAGCAGUGAGGAAUAUUGGUCAAUGGACGGAAGUCUGAACCAGCCAUGCCGCGUGAAGGAAGAAUGCCCUAUGGGUUGUAAACUUCUUUUGUUCGAGAGUAAUAAGCGGGAUGCGUCCCGUGAUGAGAGUAUCGGACGAAUAAGCAUCGGCUAACUCCGUGCCAGCAGCCGCGGUAAUACGGAGGAUGCAAGCGUUAUCCGGAUUUAUUGGGUUUAAAGGGUGCGUAGGCGGACGACUAAGUCAGCGGUGAAAUAUCCCGGCUCCACCGGGAGGCUGCCGUUGAUACUGGUCGCCUUUGAGUACGAACGGGCGCCGGGCGGGAAUAUGUUAAUGUAGCGGUGAAAUGCAUAGAUAUUACAUAGAAAACCGGAUCGCGAAGGCAGCUGGCGAGGACGUCACUGACGCUGAGGCACGAAGGCGUGGGGAUCAAACAGGAUUAGAUACCCUGGUAGUCCACGCAGUAAACGAUGAAAAGUUGUUGUCGGCGAUAGGACAGUCGGUGACAAAGGGAAAGCGAUAAGUUAUCCACCUGGGGGAGGUAGGAUCGCAAGGUGGAAACUCAAAGGAAUUGACGGGGGCCCGCACAAGCGGAGGAGCAUGUGGUUUAAUUCGAUGAUACGCGAGGAACCUUACCUAGACUCAAAUGUUGAGCGACCGACCCAGAAAUGGGUCUUUCCUUCGGGACGCUUAGCAAGGUGCUGCAUGGUUGUCGUCAGCUCGUGCCGUGAGGUGUCAGGCUAAGUCCUAUAACGAGCGCAACCCCUACGUCCAGUUGCCAGCGGGUAGAGCCGGGGACUCUGGACGGACUGCCGGCGCAAGCCGAGAGGAAGGUGGGGAUGACGUCAAAUCAGCACGGCCCUUACGUCUAGGGCGACACACGUGCUACAAUGGCCGGUACAGAGGGCAGCUACGCCGCGAGGCGAUGCGAAUCUCGAAAAGCCAUCCCAGUUCGGAUCGGAGUCUGCAACUCGACUCCGUGAAGUUGGAUUCGCUAGUAAUCGCGCAUCAGCCAUGGCGCGGUGAAUACGUUCCCGGGCCUUGUACACACCGCCCGUCA